ACUCCUACGGGAGGCAGCAGUAGGGAAUCUUCCACAAUGGGCGCAAGCCUGAUGGAGCAACACCGCGUGAGUGAAGAAGGGUUUCGGCUCGUAAAGCUCUGUUGUUAAAGAAGAACACGUAUGAGAGUAACUGUUCAUACGUUGACGGUAUUUAACCAGAAAGUCACGGCUAACUACGUGCCAGCAGCCGCGGUAAUACGUAGGUGGCAAGCGUUAUCCGGAUUUAUUGGGGCGUAAAGAGAGUGCAGGCGGUUUUCUAAGUCUGAUGUGAAAGCCUUCGGCUUAACCGGAGAAGUGCAUCGGAAACUGGAUAACUUGAGUGCAGAAGAGGGUAGUGGAACUCCAUGUGUAGCGGUGGAAUGCGUAGAUAUAUGGAAGAACACCAGUGGCGAAGGCGGCUACCUGGUCUGCAACUGACGCUGAGACUCGAAAGCAUGGGGUAGCGAACAGGAUUAGAUACCCUGGUAGG
rnacentral:rRNA from 1 species